rnacentral:rRNA from 1 species
AGAGUUUGAUCAUGGCUCAGGACGAACGCUGGCGGCGUGCUUAACACAUGCAAGUGGUGCGACGAACCAGGGCUUGCCCUGGGGCAAAGCCGCGAACGGGUGAGUAACACGUGAGUAACCUGCCCCGAUGACCGGGACAACCCGAGGAAACUCGGGCUAAUACCGGAUGUGGCGCACAGGCGUAAGCCUGUUCGCUAAAGGAAGCUUCGGCCUCCGCAUUGGGAGGGGCUCGCGGCCCAUUAGCUUGUUGGUGGGGUAACGGCCUACCAAGGCAACGAUGGGUAGCUGGUCUGAGAGGACGAUCAGCCACACUGGGACUGAGACACGGCCCAGACUCCUACGGGAGGCAGCAGUGGGGAAUCUUGCGCAAUGCGCGAAAGCGUGACGCAGCAACGCCGCGUGGGGGAAGACGGCCUUCGGGUUGUAAACCCCUUUCAGGAGGGACGAAGGCUCACCGGUGAAUAGCCGUGUGAGUUGACGGUACCUCCACAAGAAGCUCCGGCUAACUACGUGCCAGCAGCCGCGGUAAUACGUAGGGGAGCAAGCGUUGUCCGGAAUCAUUGGGCGUAAAGCGCGCGUAGGUGGCCUCAUAAGUCCGCUGUGAAAGUCAAAGGCUCAACCUUUGAAAGCCGGUGGAUACUGUGGGGCUAGAGUACGGAAGAGGCGAGUGGAAUUCCUGGUGUAGCGGUGGAAUGCGCAGAUAUCAGGAGGAACACCAAUAGCGAAGGCAGCUCGCUGGGACGUUACUGACACUGAGGCGCGAAAGCGUGGGGAGCGAACAGGAUUAGAUACCCUAGUAGUCC